rnacentral:rRNA from 1 species
AUUGAACGCUGGCGGCAUGCCUUACACAUGCAAGUCGAACGGUAACAGAUCUUCGGAUGCUGACGAGUGGCGAACGGGUGAGUAAUACAUCGGAACGUGCCUAGUAGUGGGGGAUAACUACUCGAAAGAGUGGCUAAUACCGCAUGAGAUCUACGGAUGAAAGCAGGGGAUCGCAAGACCUUGUGCUACUAGAGCGGCCGAUGGCAGAUUAGGUAGUUGGUGGGAUAAAAGCUUACCAAGCCGACGAUCUGUAGCUGGUCUGAGAGGACGAUCAGCCACACUGGGACUGAGACACGGCCCAGACUCCUACGGGAGGCAGCAGUGGGGAAUUUUGGACAAUGGGCGCAAGCCUGAUCCAGCAAUGCCGCGUGCAGGAUGAAGGCCUUCGGGUUGUAAACUGCUUUUGUACGGAACGAAAAGCCCUGGGUUAAUACCCUGGGGUCAUGACGGUACCGGAAGAAUAAGGACCGGCUAACUACGUGCCAGCAGCCGCAGUAACAC